rnacentral:tRNA from 1 species
UGGGCAGUAGCUCAGUGGUAGAACUCCCGCUUCAUGUGCGGGGAGAUCUGGGUUCGAUUCCAGGCUGCUCAC